UGCCCUGCAGACGAAUAGAGUGAUAUUGCCUCAAACCUAAUCUUUAAACUCUACAGAAAAACAAUCAUGUCCACCAUGAAGUGAGUGGGGGACGUGAUUCAGGCUGGAUGACCACGCCUAGAGGAAAGUAGUCGGUGCUUGAGGAGGUCAAGGAGCCCUCGGGGCCUGGGGCAGCGGUACUAAAGGAGACUUCUGGAACUUCUCAAGGGCUUUAGAGUCUGAGCACUCUCAAUCCUUAUCAAUCUCCUUUUACUUCAGAACUCAGGGUCCCCUUUGGAUCCUCCUGUAAUGCUUGAGCUGAUCAAUGGUGAUUGGGUCCUCUGUGGGGGAAGAGAGGACAUGAGAGAGGGAGAGAGAAAGCAAAAGAGAGGGGAGCAUGAUUGUGCAAGAAGAGAUGGCAGCAAGAAGCUGGCUGACGGGCAUGAUGGUGCAUGCCUGUGGUCCCAGCUACUCGAGACUGAGGCAGGAGAAUAGCUUGAACCCAACAGGCAGAGGACACAGAGAACCAAGAUCGUGCCAGUGCACUCCAGACUGGACAACAGAGCUCCACCUCAGAAAAAAAAAAAAAAAAAUUCCUGCGGAAGGGGUAUCAUGAACAGGAGAGAGGGACUGGCUGAUGGAUUGAGCCUUGAUGUGCAAACUCAGUCUUUCCUCAACAUCCUGGUCAGGGCCCAACGCACAGGGAAGGGCUCAAAAAUCCCAUGUUCUGGCUUGAAUCCUGGUUCUACCACAGGCUGGUUGUUUGACUUUGAGCAGCAUGACCUCUGUGCCCUGGUUGCCUCCUCUGUGAAAUGGAAUCAUAAUAAUCACCAGCUCACUGGGCUGUUGUGUAAAUGCACUACCCAUAUAAAGCUCUUAGGAAACACAUCAGUGAGCGUUAGCUGUGGUUGCUGUUAGUGCCUGCUCUUCGCCAGCCCACUGCAUGAGCCCUUUACCACCAGCUUAAACCCAAAGAACAGAAGGGGAAGAAGGCCAGGUGCGGUGGCUCACGCCUGUAAUUCCAGCACUUUGGGAGGCCGAGGUGGGCAGAUCCCUUGAGCUCAGAAGUUCAAGACCAGCCGGGCACAGUAGCUCAGGCUUGUAAUCCCAGCACUUUGGGAGACUGAGAUGGGCGGACCGCCUGAGGCCAGGAGUUCGAGACCAGCCUGGCCAACAUGGUGAAACCCCGUCUCUACUAAAAAUAUGAAAAUUAGCUGGGUGUGGUAGCAGGCACCUGUAAUCCCAGCUACUUGGGAGGCUGAGGCGGAAGAAUCACUUGAACCCAGGAAGUGGAGGUUGCAGUGAGCUGAGAUUGCACCACUGCACUCCAGCCUGAGUGACAGAGCAAGACUCUGUCUCGAAAAAAAAGAAAAAAUAAAAGGAGAAGAAGUUUGAGAUCAGCCUUGGCAACAUGGUAAAAACCUGUCCCUACAAAACAAAAAAGUUAGCCAGGCAUGGUAGUGCACACCUGUUAGCCUCAGCUACUCGCGAGGCUGACGUGAGAGGAUUGCUUGAGCCUGGGAGGUGGAGGUUGCAGUGAGCCAAGAUCACACCACCGUACUACGGCCUGGGCACCAAAGUAAAACCUUGUCUCCAAAAAAAAAAAAAAAAA
ensembl:lncRNA